UGCUGCACCCCGUGAACAAUAUUGUUAACAAGUUGUUGAACCAUCAGUACUGUUGCAACUUGUUAACAUGAUUGUCAACAAGUUGCAACAAUAUUGAUGGUUCAACAACUUGUUGACAAUAUUGUUCACGGGGUGCAAAAUCGCAAAUUA
rnacentral:miRNA from 1 species